rnacentral:lncRNA from 1 species
ACAGAGAAACAAGCCCUUUAAAAGGGUUAGUUUCACAAUCGAUGCUAGAUCUCAGUUCAUAGAUCCUUAUCUUUUACUCUGUAGCAACUAGAUAUUUCUUUAGGUUAAUCAGUCUUAAAUCAAAUACCUAAGGUAAUUUAACUUUAAAUGCCAAAGUUUAAAUUUUCUUAAAUGUUAAAUUGGAAUUAUUCUGCACAUUUAACCCAAAAGAAAAACAAAAGGCAUAAAAUGAGAUAUUUUCUUGGUCAACAAGUAUUUGCCCGGGCUCUGUGCUUGGUGGUAAGAAUGCAGAGAUCAACAAGACAGAUCUCCUGGCCGGAGAGUACUUAUACACAAAGAGUAAUUAGCACGAAGAGCACUGGACUUAAGGUUAGAUUUAGCAGCCGUGUUUUCUCAGGCAAAUUAGGAAUCAGUUUAGGAUGAUGAUUAAGAAGUGGGGUCUGAGGCCGGGCAUGGUGGCUCAGGCCUAUAAUCUCAGCACUUUGGGAGGCCAAAGGCAAGGAGGACCACUUGAGCCUUGAGCCCAGGAAGUCAAGGCUGCAGUGAGCCAUGAGCAUGCCAUUGCACUCCAGCCUGGCAGCAGAGCAAGACCCUGUCACUAAAAAAAAAAAAAAAAAAAAAUUGGGCUCUGGGGCCAGAUGUUUUGUAUUUGAAACCUGACUUUUUCAUGCCCUUGGCAAAGUUGUGGGGACUUUGUGGAAGGGACUUACUGGCCUGUGCCUCAGAUUUUUUAUCCAUAAUGUAACAUGCAUUUGCUGUAUUAUUUAAGAAUUUUCAAUUCUGCCCUAAAGAAUAGGAAAAACAAAUGGGAUAGAUGAAACUUAUCUGUAAGUAUAUGUUACAUCAGUUCAUAUGUUAAGUACAGAUAAUAAGUAAAUCAUUAACCCAUGAAACAUGUUAAACAUAGAAUAGAUAUUUACUUCUUAGACAUACGUUAAAAGGACAAAACAAACAAGAGUGUUACUUGUAAACAGAGAUGGAAAGCAAAAUAAACCUUAAAUAUUCAUAAAGCAUGGAUCAGUCUUGUUGCCUCAAAUUGACCACCCAUUGGUAUCAUCCAUUCUAACCCACUUGUUUUGUGCUUAAAAUGUAUACUGCUGCUCAUCAGGUCAUUGCUGAGCUAUAGGUGUAGCUCAUACUUACCUCUAUCUUUUUAUUAUUUUUAUUGUUUGGGGACAGGAUCUUGCUCUGUCGUCCAGGCUGGAGUGCAGUGGCACAAUCAUGACUCAUUGCCUGCUCACUGCAGCCUCAACCUUCAGGUCUCAGGUGAUCCUCCCACCUCAUCCUCCCGGGUAGUUGGGACUACAAGCACGCACCAUCAUGCCCAGCUAAUUUUUUUUUAAAUUUUUUGUAGAGACGUGGUCUCGCCAUGUUGCCCAGGCUGUUCUUGAACUCCUGGACUCAAGUACUCUGCGUGCUUCAAUCUUCCAAAGUGUUGGAAUUACAGGUGUGAGCCACAGCACUCAGCAACCUCAGUCUUUUUGAUAGAGCAAACAUAGACUGGCACCAUGAACUUUCCAUCUCUGAACAUUCUUACCUACACUCUGGUUCUUGUAACCAUGCCAUCUUUGGAGAAGGCAGAUGAGGCAGAGAGAGAGGCAGAACAUGUGAACAUUGAGUGACCCACAGUAGUGUGGUCCUUUCACCUGCAUGAUCUAAAUGUGUUCACCUACUGAAUCUCUUUCCCCUUGCUUCCCACUUUUUUCUAAAACAAUUCAGUCUCCAUAGUGACUGUCAAAAAUUGCCAGUGCUGACUAUCUUGCAAGUUGUCAUGGCAGGGUAUUGGAAAAAGUUUUCAAUUAGCAAUAACCUAGGAUAAACCUCAUUGGCUACCAUAUUUCCACUGUACAAAGCUAAGACUGUGUGUUUUAAAUUGGUUUAACAAACUAAUUUAUUUGACCAUCUUAAUCUGGCCUUUGAGCCAGAUUAUAAUGAUAGUGAUAAUGAUAGUGAAUAUUUUAUGGGAUGACUGUGGAGAUCACAUCAAUUUACUUCAAGUAAGGCACAAUUACAUUGUCUUUCAAAGAACAUAGAAACACGUUGGCGGGGAAUCAGUAAUGUAUGCAGCCAGGUAGCUCCUCUAAUUUCAGUCAGACUGAAAUAGGAAUUAAAAGAAAUUAAAGAAUGUGUAAGCAAAAACUCAGUUGUAUGUAAGAAAACUCAAUUCCCCCUGAAGAAGAGAAAGAGCUGGAGUCCUUUAAAAUUAACUGCCUGUUUUUCUGUGGCUAGUGGACCUUAUCUCUCCCUUUCCCAGGCAUUGUGAAGACUCUGUUUCUCUAGCUGUGCAGCUGCAAGGUCACUAGACAGAUAAUGUCAAGUCGUAAAACAUGUUGUUCCUUGAAAAGUAAGAAAUAAUGUAAUGCAUGUCUUAAUUGAAUAACUGUCUUUGUUUCUCGCUUCUGUAACAUGCUUCCCCCUGCAUAGAUCUCCCCCUGCCCCAAAAAAUGCUUAAAAGGUAGCUUGACUCUCUGUUCGAGGCUCAGUCCUUUUGAUGUUAAUCCGACUGGGUCGGUGCACCUAAAUAAUUAAAUAAUUCCUCCUUAA